GCAAUACUCUUAGACAUGUAUUACAAACCCACCCACACUUCCACGCUAGUAAUUGAGGCUCUUUUCUUGCGGCUCCAGCCUCGAAGAUGCUGCUGAUAUUUCUUCACCCCUUUGAACUCUUUUGUGUCUGGACGUACCAGUCAACAGUGAUGGUGUCACCACUGGAAGUAACAUGAAGGGCCAGAAUCCUCACAAGGUACCAAUGCCCCCACCGUCAAUUUGGCCAUUGGAUGCACUAGUGGAAAUUGCGCUGAAACAAAGAAAGGCAGUUCCGUGUUGUUGAUUGGCAGGAGCGAAGACAGCUGGCAUACCCAGUCUUUAUGUUGUUGUUAAAUCACUCGGAUGACGUAUACAUUUUGCAUCAACAUGAAAAGGAAAACUUGGAAGGAAUCAAACAGCCCUUCCUGCGAACGCGUAUGUCAGAAUGUCACUUUUUGCCUUUUGAACGAGUUGCGAUAUCGCAGAAUCGCCACACGGAUUUCUUUAUCACAGCUAAGAAAAAUAAA